rnacentral:rRNA from 1 species
UACGUAGGGGGCAAGCGUUGUCCGGAUUUAUUGGGCGUAAAGAGCGUGUAGGCGGCUAGGUAGGUCCGUUUGUGAAAACUCGAGGCUCAACCUCGAGACGCCGAUGGAAACCAUCUGGCUAGAGUCCGGGAAGAGGAGAGUGGAAUUCCUGGUGUAGCGGUGAAAUGCGCAGAUAUCAGGAAGAACACCCGUGGCGAAGGCGGCUCUCUGGGACGGUACUGACGCUGAGACGCGAAAAGCGUGGGGAGCGAACAGG